UGGGUUUAGGAAUUCUGUUAUGUCAUUUCCUCAUGAAGUUGAAAGGAAGUUUGUGGGCUAAUGCACGUACAAAAGGGAUGUUGAAACUGUGGCGCACAUUUCUCGGCAACAUUAGAAGUCGGGUAAAAGUAUUGAUUUGAAGGAAAGACGAGCAGACUGGGGUCAGUGCUCUAAAAUGAGUCUCUCUGGGGAGAGGAAGGAGGGGGGCCCUGCCUCUAAAAUGAGACUCUCUAGGGAACAUGACACCAAAGCCAAGAGUCCAAUCAAGCAGGAGAGACCAGCCUCCCCUGUACCCAGCUGUGUGUCCAUGAAGAGUGACCGGUCUAUGAGUCGUUUAGAGAGGGAGACUUUUCU